AUCAUCAAAUAAAUUCAUAAAAUAAAUUCAUAGUUGCUGGAAAAUAACAGCAUUGAUAAUAAAUAUUUAAAUAUUGCAUUUAUUUACCGUAAACUUACCUCGGUACCAAUUAUAGCCAAAUUCACCAACUUAGUCUUCAACUUUAUUCUUCCCUUUGUCUAACCUCGAGUUUCGUACUUCUUGAUUAUGGAGCUUGGAAGCUUGAAAACCCUAACUAUGGCUUCC
rnacentral:lncRNA from 1 species